UAAUAUGGCAGAUUAGUGCAAUAGAUUUAAGCCCUAUAAAUAAAGUAACCACUUUUAUUAGAA
rnacentral:tRNA from 1 species